CCUACGGGUGGCAGCAGUGAGGAAUAUUGGUCAAUGGCCGGAAGGCUGAACCAGCCAUGCCGCGUGAAGGUCAGUGCCCUAUGGGCGUUAAACUUCUUUUGUGCGGGAGCAAUAAUGGUCACGUGUGGCCAGACGAGAGUACCGUACGAAUAAGCAUCGGCUAACUCCGUGCCAGCAGCCGCGGUAAUACGGGGGAUGCAAGCGUUAUCCGGAUUUAUUGGGUUUAAAGGGUGCGUAGGCUGUGAGGUAAGUCAGCGGUGAAAUGCCCCCGCUCAACGGGGUGAAGUGCCAUUGAUACUGCCUGGCUGGAAGGCGGAUGCCGUGGGAGGAAUGUGUGGUGUAGCGGUGAAAUGCAUAGAUAUCACACAGAACACCGAUUGCGAAGGCAUCUCACGAAUCCGCGAUUGACGCUGAUGCACGAAAGCGUGGGUAUCAAACAGGAUUAGAUACCCUAGUAGUC
rnacentral:rRNA from 1 species